rnacentral:rRNA from 4 species
ACGAACGCUGGCGGCGUGCUUAACACAUGCAAGUCGAACGAUGAAGGGGAGCUUGCUUUCUGGAUUAGUGGCGAACGGGUGAGUAACACGUGAGUAACCUGCCCUUGACUCUGGGAUAACUGCGGGAAACUGUAGCUAAUACCGGAUAUGACCCUCCGCUGCAUGGUGAGGGGGUGGAAAGAUUUUUUGGUCAAGGAUGGACUCGCGGCCUAUCAGCUUGUUGGUGAGGUAAUGGCUCACCAAGGCGACGACGGGUAGCCG